CGUAGGAGACAAACGUUAUCCGGAGUUACUGGGCGUAAAGGGCGUGUAGGCGGUUUGUUAAGUCUGGCGUGAAAGCUCUCGGCUAAACCGGGAGAGGUCGUUGGAUACUGGCGAACUGGAGGAUGGUAGAGGCGUGUGGAAUUCCGGGUGUAGUGGUGAAAUGCGUAGAGAUCCGGAGGAACACCAGUGGCGAAGGCGACACGCUGGGCCAUACCUGACGCUAAAGCGCGACAGCAUGGGGAGCGAACGGGAUUAGAAACCCCGGUAGUCCAUGCCGUAAACGAUGCCAGCUAGAUGUUCACGCCGCGCAAGCGGCUGGGGUAUCGCAGCUAACGCGAUAAGCUGGCCGCCUGGGGAGUACGGUCGCAAGGCUA
rnacentral:rRNA from 1 species